AUACGGAGGGUGCAAGCGUUAAUCGGAAUUACUGGGCGUAAAGCGUACGUAGGCGGUUCGUUAAGUUAGAUGUGAAAGCCCCGGGCUUAACCUGGGAACUGCAUUUAAAACUGGCGGACUAGAGUUGAGUAGAGGGGAGUGGAAUUUCAGGUGUAGCGGUGAAAUGCGUAGAGAUCUGAAGGAACACCAGUGGCGAAGGCGACUCCCUGGACUCGAACUGACGCUGAGGUGCGAAAGCGUGGGUAGCAAACGGGAUUAGAAACCCUAGUAGUCC
rnacentral:rRNA from 1 species